rnacentral:sRNA from 1 species
UGCCCGGCUGUUGGGGUGGCGGUGACGACAGGCAGCAAAAGACCAGCAGUAACCCUCGUCCCCACCCCCGCUAGAAGAGGGGAAAGGUAGAAAAGGUAGAGGACGCCACCCCCACCCUACUCUCCGCCGAGCUCCGGGGCUGUUCGCUUACAGCCCCCAGGUGGUCACGGUCCCUGCACCUGAGGAGCUGGCACCCAGGCACAUGAAGAAUAGAAGGAGCCUGUUUCCUACUUCGCCCUGGCUGGUCCCAGAUUCGCUGCUGGAGUGCUGGAUGGAGCCUUUCUCUGCCCUCUGUGACAUUUCCAAUUUUAGAUAAUGCCUCACAUCUCUGUCCCCCCGGGACCCCCUGGAGCCCCCAUGAUCCCUAAGAAGACAGCUUGAACCUAGAAUUCCCCUCUCCCUCCCUAGAUCUCACCCCCAGGAUGUUGCGGAGGCUGCUGGAGCGGCCUUGCACGCUGGCCCUGCUUGUGGGCUCCCAGCUGGCUGUCAUGAUGUACCUGUCACUGGGGGGCUUCCGAAGUCUCAGUGCCCUAUUUGGCCGAGAUCAGGGGCCGACAUUUGACUAUUCUCACCCUCGUGAUGUCUACAGUAACCUCAGUCACCUGCCUGGGGCCCCAGGGGGUCCUCCAGCUCCUCAAGGUCUGCCCUACUGUCCAGAACGAUCUCCUCUCUUAGUGGGUCCUGUGUCGGUGUCCUUUAGCCCAGUGCCAUCACUGGCAGAGAUUGUGGAGCGGAAUCCCCGGGUAGAACCAGGGGGCCGGUACCGCCCUGCAGGUUGUGAGCCCCGCUCCCGAACAGCCAUCAUUGUGCCUCAUCGUGCCCGGGAGCACCACCUGCGCCUGCUGCUCUACCACCUGCACCCCUUCUUGCAGCGCCAGCAGCUUGCUUAUGGCAUCUAUGUCAUCCACC